UUAUGUUACCCGAAGAGUGAAGGAGGUGUAGGUUUCAGAGAUUUGUACUCAUUUACUCUUGCAAUGCUAUCUAAGUAAUGUUGGAGACUAAUUAACUCACCUGAAUCAUUAUGUGCAAGAGUUCUUAAAGCAAAAUACUUCUUAAAUGGAGGCCUUUUGAAAGCAACUCUGAAGAACGGGGCUUCAUUUACUUGGCAGAGCAUCAUGGAAGGUGUUGAGGUUUUCAAAAGAGGAUAUAUUUGGAGAGUAGGUGCUAGAAAUGAUAUCAACAUAUGGUCGGAUCCAUUGAUUCCCUCUAGUCCUAACAGAACGAUUGUCACGCCCCGAGGGCAAGCAAUUGCUUCGGUUGUCAGUUUCAAACAUCGUUUUCGAUCCCGCAAAUCAAGCGGCGCAUGUGCUAUCUGGUUUUAG
rnacentral:rRNA from 1 species